GGAGGACUUGGAGCGGGAGAGGGUGAGGCGGCGGCAGACGGGAGCGGAGGUGGAAGAGUUAACAGAGUUGAGAUAGACAUUGACAUGGCGAUAGAGGUCAUUGAUGUCAACACCACAGCAGCCAUUAAAUUCAGGGAUGUCGAAGUACGAAUAAGGAGAGAUGAGCUCUUGGAGGGACUCGUAGAUGGAGCGGAGAAGGGAGAGGAGCUGUGUGG
rnacentral:misc_RNA from 1 species